GUGUUGUCAACACACAGCAGGUAGGGCACUUUCUGACCGGAAGCCAGGGUUGCUAUUGGCACUGCUUGCUUCUGUUUCCCCGUGGCAGGUGGGGAAUACCAAGAGAAGG